CGGCGGACGGCGCGGCUUAGUUUGAGGCGCGUGAGUGCAGUAUCGGGCUCCGUAACAGGGCAGGAGAGAGCCUAUCCUACAGUGGAACCAUUGGUUUGGAAGUUUGAUGGGGUGAUCCUAACGGUGUUUUUGUCUGGAAGUGUUGGAACCAAAGCUGGAAGAAUGCAUUCUUGUUACAGAGAUAGUACGAACUGCCGAUGCUGGAGAAUCUGAGAUAACACGGUGUAGAUAACAAGGCGUAGAGCUGGAUGAACACAGCAGGCCAAGCAGCAUCAGAGGAGCAGGAAGGCUGACGUUUCGGGCCUAGACCCUUCUUCAGAAAUUUCAUCCAGCUCUACACCUCGUUAUCUCAGAUUCUCCAGCAUCUGCAGUUCCUGCUAACUCUAACACGGUGAAUAACUGGAUGAACACAGCAGGCCAAGCAGCAUCAGAGGAGCAGGAAAGCUGACGUUUCGGGUUGAGCUCUACACUGUGUUAUCUCAAUGCAUUCUUGCUCUGGUCCCAUUCAAUCUUUGCAGUUAAGCUUGCUGCUUUCGUGCAAAUAUCCUAUGAAAAUCUGACCUGUUCUGCUGCAAAUCAUACAUCGUGGUAUUUGCAAAGUCUUUGACAGGAAGAAAUCACAAGUAGUAAUGUGAAAUUAACAUAUAAAACCAAUUAAGUCCAUUAAUUUGUAUGUUUCAUGAUUUAUUGCUAACUUUAUUCAUUUUUUUUGGCAUUUUCAUCUCAGUUAGAAAGUUAUAAUUUCAAGUUCCAUUUAUGAUCAAGGGCAAUACUUCCAUAUAACUGAGGAAGUACUGCAUCAGAGAUGCCGAUUUUUGUUAAAAAUGGUAAAUCAAGAUGGCUAGAUGUAAAACAAAAGAUUUCGCUAUAGAUUGCUGUGUUGCUGUUGCUGCUGUCUUGUUGAUUAUGACCACAAAGCUGAAUAAAUUUAGAACACCA